rnacentral:rRNA from 1 species
GACGAACGCUGGCGGCGUGCCUAAUACAUGCAAGUGGGACGCAAGGGAACACACUGUGCUUGCACACCGUGUUUUCUUGAGUCGCGAACGGGUGAGUAACGCGUAGGUAACCUGCCUAUUAGCGGGGGAUAACUAUUGGAAACGAUAGCUAAUACCGCAUAAUAUUAAUUAUUGCAUGAUAAUUGAUUGAAAGAUGCAAGCGCAUCACUAGUAGAUGGACCAGCGUUGUAUUAGCUAGUUGGUAAGGUAAGAGCUUACCAAGGCGACGAUACAUAGCCGACCUGAGAGGGUGAUCGGCCACACUGGGACUGAGACACGGCCCAGACUCCUACGGGAGGCAGCAGUAGGGAAUCUUCGGCAAUGGACGAAAGUCUGACCGAGCAACGCCGCGUGAGUGAAGAAGGUUUUCGGAUCGUAAAGCUCUGUUGUAAGUCAAGAACGUGUGUGAGAGUGGAAAGUUCACACAGUGACGGAGCUACCAGAAAGGAC